GACGAACGCUGGCGGCGUGCCUAACACAUGCAAGUCGGACGGAUCAGGUAUGACAGCUUGCUGUAGUGCCUGGUUAGUGGCGGACGGGUGAGUAACGCGUGAGGACCUACCCUGGAGAGGGGGAUAACGGCUGGAAACGGCUGCUAAUACCCCGUAAGCCUGAGGGUGAAAGGGAGCGAUCUGCUCCGGGGCGGCCUUGCGUCCUAUCAGCUAGUUGGUGGGGUAAUGGCCUACCAAGGCGAAGACGGGUAGCCGGCCUGAGAGGGCGACCGGCCACACUGGAACUGAGACACGGUCCAGACUCCUACGGGAGGCAGCAGUGGGGAAUAUUGGGCAAUGGGGGCAACCCUGACCCAGCGACGCCGCGUGAGGGACGAAGUCCUUCGGAGUGUAAACCUCUGUUGUGGGGAAGAAGUCAGUGACGGUACCUCACGAGGAAGCCCCGGCCAAACUACGUG
rnacentral:rRNA from 1 species